UCUCAAUCACCACCCAACGUUCAAGGUGAUUAGCUACUGCUUGACUCAUAAACAUCACCAGCCCCAGCCGUCGUGCUCUAUCCAAGUUUACCCAAAGCAUAACAGUGGAGGGCAACGCCAAAACAUGGCAUUUCUUUGCUUUCAUCCCGCGGUCAUUAUCACGUACCCGGGGAAGCAUUGUAUAAAAUCAGCACUUUUGUGGCGUGCCGUUUGACUCUAUAGCACCAGGUUUGCAAGUGAAGUGGAAGAGGGCAGUUUUCUGUUGACUGAGGUAGCUCCAGUGGUCUGUAAUGAUCAUCAUGCGGGCCAUCGUAGCAACGGUUCUCCUGAUUACGGUUGUCCUAGUGUCGAUUGUUGUGAUUAACGCCAACUCGAGGCACGUUCGAAGUGAAGUGACGAUUAAUGGAAACGAUGGCGACGGAGGGGUUCAGGUGGAUGAGAUGGAACUGAAAGUGAUUACUGGUGGGUCGUAUGAAGAAGAAGACGAGAGGAUGGGUCUCAAUCCUGAGGAGGAACGAAAGACCUUACAGUUUGAGGAUUCGCUUUCGGAUAGUGUGAAAAACUCCGAGAGCAGUACGUUGAUUAACGCAAUUAGGAAGGCGGGAGUAGCAACCGACGAAGAAGCUUUGGAUGCAAGCAGUCAGGUUGAAACCAUCCAGGCUGAAUCGGAGCUACCGAUCGAGAACGAAGAGGAAGAAGAAAUUGUAGUCCUCCAUGAGAGACACAACAUCAAUCCCGUUCAGAUGUACGACGAUGUAGUUUACUCUGAAGAAGUGGUUGUAGACGCCAAGAGUACUGAAGUUUUUGAACAAGCUACGAAUCGGUCUCAUACCACUCCAGUUCCGACCACGGAGGGUGAUUACUAUGUGGAAGAUGCUCCAGCUGAAGUAAAUGUUGAGAAGCAGGAGCAGGAAGAGGAACUACAACCGGAAGAGAGAUAUCUCGAGUCCAAAACAGUGAAUGACAUCAAAGCUCGGUCUAAGGAAAAUCAGUGGAGCAGUCGGAGAACUUCACCAGCCACCGAACGGCAGACUCCGCUGGGAUACGAACCAGACAGCUACAUAGUUGUGGACGAGGACAUGUUCAACUCGAAGAAAGCUGAACUGGAAGAAACAUUCGCUGGAAAGGAUGAUUUGUCACCGGCUAGUUCGAGUAUUAGCAGCCGCCCACUAGAACGAAAACAGAGGGCUGCCGUGGGUCACCCCGACACUAUCGUACUGAAUCGGGCACCAAUAAUGCCUCAUAUUGAGGACGAGUACCGGGAGCCGGGAUGCCCCCUCAUGUUCCCGCCGCCACCGCGCUUUGACCAUUCCAUGGAACGCGGCCGAGCCCGUCCGAGAUACCACACAGGGAUGGCCUCGAUCUACAACCCGCACAACUGGGAUGCGCACAACAUGAACCUGUUACGUUUCCCGCAAUGUACGGCCUGCCAGCGGAAACAUGCUCCCCUGUGUCGUACCUGCGGAAGAUGCAGCGACUGUUGUUUACAGAGUGGAUGCACCUGUGGCUGUUUACACUCUUGAUGGGGGAGAGCUGUUUCCUCUAUUUUAUAUGUACGUUUCAAAUAUAAGUUGUAGGAUUGUUGACUUA